rnacentral:rRNA from 1 species
GACGAACGCUGGCGGCGUGCUUAACACAUGCAAGUCGAACGAAGAGCGACGGAAGCUUGCUUCUAUCAAUCUUAGUGGCGAACGGGUGAGUAACGCGUAAUCAACCUGCCCUUCAGAGGGGGACAACAGUUGGAAACGACUGCUAAUACCGCAUACGAUCUAAUCUCGGCAUCGAGGAUGGAUGAAAGGUGGCCUCUACAUGUAAGCUAUCACUGAAGGAGGGGAUUGCGUCUGAUUAGCUAGUUGGAGGGGUAACGGCCCACCAAGGCGAUGAUCAGUAGCCGGUCUGAGAGGAUGAACGGCCACAUUGGGACUGAGACACGGCCCAGACUCCUACGGGAGGCAGCAGUGGGGAAUCUUCCGCAAUGGACGAAAGUCUGACGGAGCAACGCCGCGUGAGUGAUGACGGCCGUCGGGUUGUAAAGCUCGGUUAAUCGGGACGAAAGGCCUUCUUGCGAAUAGUGAGAAGGAUUGACGGUACCGGAAUAGAAAGCCACGGCUAACUACGUG